CUCUGUAUAUUCAGUCCUCUUCAGAUCAGUCUCUAACAACAUUUCCCCAGGCGGUUAUCCGAGGGAUCUACUAACCUGCAACUGCUAAUGGAUUUGAUUCCUUCCUCUCCCACUCCAAACGUAGCAUCACAAUCUCCAGGGUCAUGAGCUGGCCCAGACAGGCUGUCAAGUAAAGCUUCUGCGAGUGCCAGGAAUAUGCUAAAAUGCCAUGAAUUUCAUGGGAACGCUUAGAAGAAUUACGGUCACACCUAGAGGCCGCAACCGCAAUCAGGGACCCACCCUAAGAUUCCCAAAGAUGCCAGGAGGCAAAGCAAAGAUGAACUUCGCAGCUGGAUCUUCCUGUUUGGAGCAAGUCCACGUCUCAUCUGUGCCACCUCCACUGAGAAGACCUUUGUGAAGUCCCUGAGUGCUGUUGCCAAACAGGAGUACCUGGAACUGGUCGUGUUCCUGUCCUACUAGAAAUCUAAGAAACCUUCUGUGCCAUGGGUGAACAUUCACAUGAAAUUAAUCAUCUUUCAUGCUGAAAGCAACAAACCAUCUGUCUUCUUCCAGAGAUGAAAUUAUCAGUGCCAACGUAACUACGCCGAAUUUGCAAAUAAAAAUAUUUAGUUGAUGCAA